CAGCUGGAUUAUCCCAUUACCUUCACUAUGGUGCCCAGGCAGCUGAAUUAUCCCAUAACCCUCACUGUGGUGCCCAGGCAGCCAGAUUAUCCCAUAACCCUCACUGUGGUGCCCAGGCAGCCGGAUUAUCCCAUAACCCUCACUGUGGUGCCCAGGCAGCCGGAUUAUCCCAUAACCCUCACUGUGGUGCCCAGGCAGCCGGAUUACCCCAUUAACUUCAGUGUGGUGCCCAG
rnacentral:antisense_RNA from 1 species